rnacentral:rRNA from 1 species
UACGGGGGGGGCAAGCGUUGUUCGGAAUUACUGGGCGUAAAGGGCUCGUAGGCGGCCAACUAAGUCAGACGUGAAAUCCCUCGGCUUAACCGGGGAACUGCAUCUGAUACUGGAUGGCUUGAGAUUGGGAGAGGGAUGCGGAAUUCCAGGUGUAGCGGUGAAAUGCGUAGAUAUCUGGAGGAACACCGGUGGCGAAGGCGGCAUCCUGGACCGACAUUGACGCUGAGGAGCGAAAGCCAGGGGAGCAAACGGG